rnacentral:rRNA from 1 species
AGUGAACGCUGGCGGUAGGCCUAACACAUGCAAGUCGAACGGCAGCACAGUAAGAGCUUGCUCUUACGGGUGGCGAGUGGCGGACGGGUGAGGAAUACAUCGGAAUCUACUUUUUCGUGGGGGAUAACGUAGGGAAACUUACGCUAAUACCUCAUACGACCUACGGGUGAAAUCAGGGGAUCUUCGGACCUUGCGCGAUUGAAUGAGCCGAUGUCGGAUUAGCUAGUUGGCGGGGUAAAGGCCCACCAAGGCGACGAUCCGUAGCUGGUCUGAGAGGAUGAUCAGCCACACUGGAACUGAGACACGGUCCAGACUCCUACGGGAGGUAGCAGUGGGGAAUAUUGGACAAUGGGCGAAAGCCUGAUCCAGCAAUACCGCGUGGGUGAAGAAGGUCUUCGGGUUGUAAAGCCCUUUUGUUGGGAAAGAAAAGCAGCAGGUUAAUACCCCGCUGUUCUGACGGUACCCAAAGAAUAAGCACCGGCUAACUUCGUG